UGGGGAAUUUUCCGCAAUGGGCGAAAGCCUGACGGAGCAAUACCGCGUGCGGGAGGAAGGCCUUUGGGUCGUAAACCGCUUUUAACAGGGAAGAAGAUCUGACGGUACCUGUUGAAUAAGCCUCGGCUAACUCCGUGCCAGCAGCCGCGGUAAGACGGAGGAGGCAAGCGUUAUCCGGAAUUAUUGGGCGUAAAGCGUCCGCAGGUGGCCUAUCAAGUCUGUUGUUAAAGCCCAGGGCUCAACUCUGGAUCAGCAAUGGAAACUGAAAGGCUAGAGUACGGUAGGGGUAGAGGGAAUUCCCAGUGUAGCGGUGAAAUGCGUAGAUAUUGGGAAGAACACCAGUGGCGAAGGCGCUCUGCUGGGCCGUAACUGACACUCAUGGACGAAAGCUA
rnacentral:rRNA from 1 species